GACGAACGCUGGCGGCGUGCUUAACACAUGCAAGUCGAACGGUAAGGCCCUUCGGGGUACGCGAGUGGCGAACGGGUGAGUAACGCGUGGGUGAUCUGCCCUGCACUUCGGGAUAAGCCUGGGAAACUGGGUCUAAUACCGGAUAGGACUCCUGGCUUCAUGGUUGGGGGUGGAAAGCUUUUGCGGUGUGGGGUGGGCCCGCGGCCUAUCAGCUUGUUGGUGGGGUAAUGGCCUACCAAGGCGACGACGGGUAGCCGGCCUGAGAGGGUGACCGGUCACACUGGGACUGAGAUACGGGCCAGACUCCUACGGGAGGCAGCAGUGGGGAAUAUUGCACGAUGGGCGCAAGCAUGAUGCAGCGACGCCGCGUGAGGGAUGACGGCCUUCGGGUUGUAAACCUCUUUCAGCUAUGACGAAGCGCAAGUGACGGUAGUAGCAGAAGAAGGACCGGCCAACUACGUGCCAGCCGCCGCUGUAA
rnacentral:rRNA from 1 species